rnacentral:rRNA from 1 species
AGAGUUUGAUCCUGGCUCAGGAUGAACGCUAGCUACAGGCUUAACACAUGCAAGUCGAGGGGCAGCAUGGUCUUAGCUUGCUAAGGCCGAUGGCGACCGGCGCACGGGUGAGUAACACGUAUCCAACCUGCCGUCUACUCUUGGACAGCCUUCUGAAAGGAAGAUUAAUACAAGAUGGCAUCAUGAGUCCGCAUGUUCACAUGAUUAAAGGUAUUCCGGUAGACGAUGGGGAUGCGUUCCAUUAGAUAGUAGGCGGGGUAACGGCCCACCUAGUCUUCGAUGGAUAGGGGUUCUGAGAGGAAGGUCCCCCACAUUGGAACUGAGACACGGUCCAAACUCCUACGGGAGGCAGCAGUGGGGAAUAUUGGUCAAUGGGCGAGAGCCUGAACCAGCCAAGUAGCGUGAAGGAUGACUGCCCUAUGGGUUGUAAACUUCUUUUAUAAAGGAAUAAAGUCGGGUAUGGAUACCCGUUUGCAUGUACUUUAUGAAUAAGGAUCGGCUAACUCCGUGCCAGCAGCCGCGGUAAUACGGAGGAUCCGAGCGUUAUCCGGAUUUAUUGGGUUUAAAGGGAGCGUAGAUGGAUAUUUAAGUCAGUUGUGAAAGUUUGCGGCUCAACCGUAAAAUUGCAGUUGAUACUGGAUAUCUUGAGUGCAGUUGAGGCAGGCGGAAUUCGUGGUGUAGCGGUGAAGUGCUUAGAUAUCACGAAGAACUCCGAUUGCGAAGGCAGCCUGCUAAGCUGCAACUGACAUUGAGGCUCGAAAGUGUGGGUAUCAAACAGGAUUAGAUACCCUGGUAGUCCACACGGUAAACGAUGAAUACUCGCUGUUUGCGAUAUACUGCAAGCGGCCAAGCGAAAGCGUUAAGUAUUCCACCUGGGGAGUACGCCGGCAACGGUGAAACUCAAAGGAAUUGACGGGGGCCCGCACAAGCGGAGGAACAUGUGGUUUAAUUCGAUGAUACGCGAGGAACCUUACCCGGGCUUAAAUUGCAGAUGAAUUACGGUGAAAGCCGUAAGCCGCAAGGCAUCUGUGAAGGUGCUGCAUGGUUGUCGUCAGCUCGUGCCGUGAGGUGUCGGCUUAAGUGCCAUAACGAGCGCAACCCUUGUUGUCAGUUACUAACAGGUUCUGCUGAGGACUCUGACAAGACUGCCAUCGUAAGAUGUGAGGAAGGUGGGGAUGACGUCAAAUCAGCACGGCCCUUACGUCCGGGGCUACACACGUGUUACAAUGGGGGGUACAGAGGGCCGCUACCACGCGAGUGGAUGCCAAUCCCCAAAACCUCUCUCAGUUCGGACUGGAGUCUGCAACCCGACUCCACGAAGCUGGAUUCGCUAGUAAUCGCGCAUCAGCCACGGCGCGGUGAAUACGUUCCCGGGCCUUGUACACACCGCCCGUCAAGCCAUGGGAGCCGGGGGUACCUGAAGUGCGUAACCGCGAGGAGCGCCCUAGGGUAAAACUGGUGACUGGGGCUAAGUCGUAACAAGGUA